AAAGGGCCGAGUAGGUGUUCCUAUUAAAGGCUUUGACUUCUUCGGGAGUAGAAAGUUUCAUUAUAAUCUAAAAAAGGACGCAAACUAACGAAAAAUGGGUGAUAGAAAGGGAGGGAAAUUCAAUAUUCUAUAAACGAAGUAAUUAAUUGCUUGAGUUUUCGGUGUAGUGUGUUUCUCACUAGGAUGAUUUGGGUAAACUCCCGAUAUAUAUGUAUUUGCCUUCACAAGAAAAAGCAAUGAUAUACCAAGAAAGGAAUAACGAAUGACUCGGUAUGAAAGCGUUAACUUCUCGCUCAGUUCAAUUUUGCCUCUAUAUGUUUCAAGCUAUUUUGUCCAGAUCUAAGGACUUGGAAACGAGCAAAUCAAGGUAUGGUGGUGAGAUUCGCUUGGGGGAUAGACACUUUAAAAAUGGGAUACGCCUCUUCUUAUUGGAAUUCCUUACAUCCGAAAAAUCGUAUGAUCUGAGCCAAUUUUUUAACGAUACGGUUCGUUAAACUUAUCUUAUGUCCUUCGAUUAGGUGAUGACUUGCCAUCACGUUCUAGGACGGUGAAAUCAAUUAACACAAUGUACAGCAACCCGAUAUGGGAUGAAAGCGAUCAACUAACGUCAAGAGACAAUGGGAAUAGAUACAAAUUCCCGAAGGUAUUAGUUGAUGGACGCAAAUUUUUAGUUAACAAUGAGACAGGAAAAUUUUUUGCCAAGCGGAACUAAAGAAGAAAAAAAAAAAAAAAAUAACCACAAUUGAGUUCCGCUAGUAAUAAUAACCGUAUUUGUAUUGAGUAAUAAUCACAAUAGUAGCUAAUAAUCACGCUUAUUGUAUAACAAAAGUUCUUCUGAAAAAAGAAAACAAAUGUGCGCCAUCUUUGAAGAGUCUUUGUAGAUAGGGGUAAAAAAAAUUAGUAGUAUGGAAACUGCGUCGGCGAAAACAAGGGAAACAUCUUUGUAUUGAAAUAGGAGGCAAGUCAAUUGAUAACCUAGAUUAAAUGAAAAAGUUCCCGUUCAGAUAAAGUGUGAAUGUAAUACUAUACUACAUUGGAGAAUAUUUGAAAGAAAGAUUGAAAAAGGAUAGUAUUUGAGCAAUCUUCUAAAUAAAAAAGAAAAAAAAAAUAAGAAUGAAAGAAAUGAGCAAAACAAAACAAAAUAAAACGAAUUU